rnacentral:rRNA from 1 species
CAUAGCGACUAUCGUGGCAUAUCAAUAAGCGGAGGAAAAGAAACUAACAAGGAUUCCCUUAGUAACGGCGAGUGAAGCGGGAAGAGCUCAAAUUUGAAAUCUUCAAGGUUCUACCUUGACGAAUUGUAGUUUAAAGAAGUGUUUUCUGUUGAAGUUUUGGUAAAAGUUCUUUGGAAUAGGACAUCAUAGAGGGUGAGAAUCCCGUAUUUGACCAUUACUUUCAGCUGUGUGAUACACUUUCAAAGAGUCGGAUUGUUUGGGAAUGCAGUCCAAAAUGGGUGGUAAAUUUCAUCUAAAGCUAAAUAUUGGCGAGAGACCGAUAGCGAACAAGUACCGUGAGGGAAAGAUGAAAAGAACUUUGAAAAGAGAGUUAAACAGUACGUGAAAUUGUCAAAAGGGAAGCGUUUGACCCCAGUGUUGUUUUCUCGAAAAUCAAUUAAAAAUGGCGGAUUUUGUGUUGUAUUGACCUUUAUCAAGCUUUCUUCACUUUUUUUCCUAUCUUUUUUAAUGCACUUUUCGUUUAACAAGUCAACAUCAAUUUCUUUUGUUGUAAAAGAGUCAUUGGAAGGUGGCUUUCUUUUCGGAGAAAGUGUUUAUAGCCUUUGACUUCUGCAAUCGGAGAGAUUGAGGUCUGCAGCGUAGAUCCUUCGGGGUUAGAUACAUUUGUGCUAAGUUAUAGCCUUUCAUAGACAACUUGUUGACUAUGAUCAGUCAUGUAGCUUACUCGCUUAUGCUAUUUUACCUACGCUUAGGAUGUUGAAGAUAUGCGCGACACG